AACGAACGCUGGCGGCAUGCCUAACACAUGCAAGUCGAACGGGAUCCUAGCUUGCUAGGUGAGAGUGGCGGACGGGUGAGUAACACGUGGGAAUCUGCCUUUUGGUUCGGGAUAACCGCGGAAACUGCGGCUAAUACCGAAUGCCCUCGAGAGAGGAAAGAUUUAUCGCCAGAAGAGGAGCCCGCGUCCGAUUAGGUAGUUGGUGGGGUAAAGCCUACCAAGCCGACGAUCGGUAGCUGGUCUGAGAGGAUGAUCAGCCACACUGGGACUGAGAUACGGCCCAGACUCCUACGGGAGCAGCAGUGGGAAUAUUGGACAAUGGGGGCAACCCUGAUCCAGCAAUGCCGCGUGAGUGAUG
rnacentral:rRNA from 1 species